rnacentral:rRNA from 1 species
AACGAACGCUGGCGGCAGGCUUAACACAUGCAAGUCGAGCGCCCCGCAGGGGGAGCGGCAGACGGGUGAGUAACGCGUGGGAAUCUACCAUCUCUACGGAAUAACGCAUGGAAACGUGUGCUAAUACCGUAUACGUCCUUCGGGAGAAAGAUUUAUCGGAGAUGGAUGAGCCCGCGUUGGAUUAGCUAGUUGGUGGGGUAAAGGCCUACCAAGGCGACGAUCGAUAGCUGGUCUGAGAGGAUGAUCAGCCACACUGGGACUGAGACACGGCCCAGACUCCUACGGGAGGCAGCAGUGGGGAAUAUUGGACAAUGGGCGCAAGCCUGAUCCAGCCAUGCCGCGUGAGUGAUGAAGGCCCUAGGGUUGUAAAGCUCUUUCACCGGUGAAGAUAAUGACGGUAACCGGAGGAGAAGCCCCGGCUAACUUCGUGCCAGCCGCCGCGGUAAGAC